rnacentral:rRNA from 1 species
CGAGCGAAGCGGGAAGAGCUCAAAUUUAUAAUCUGGCACCUUCGGUGUCCGAGUUGUAAUCUCUAGAAAUGUUUUCCGCGUUGGACCGCACACAAGUCUGUUGGAAUACAGCGGCAUAGUGGUGAGACCCCCGUAUAUGGUGCGGACGCCCAGCGCUUUGUGAUACAUUUUCGAAGAGUCGAGUUGUUUGGGAAUGCAGCUCAAAUUGGGUGGUAAAUUCCAUCUAAAGCUAAAUAUUGGCGAGAGACCGAUAGCGAACAAGUACCGUGAGGGAAAGAUGAAAAGCACUUUGGAAAGAGAGUUAACAGUACGUGAAAUUGUUGGAAGGGAAACGCUUGAAGUCAGACUUGCUUGCCGAGCAAUCGGUUUGCAGGCCAGCAUCAGUUUUCCGGGAUGGAUAAUGGUAGAGAGAAGGUAGCAGUUUCGGCUGUGUUAUAGCUCUCUGCUGGAUACAUCUUGGGGGACUGAGGAACGCAGUGUGCCUUUGGCGGGGGUUUCGACCUCUUCACACUUAGGAUGCUGGUGGAAUGGCUUUAAACGACCCGUCUUGAACCACGGACCA